rnacentral:rRNA from 1 species
GGCCACUGCUAUUGGGGUUCGACUAAGCCAUGCGAGUCUAUGGACUUCGGUCCAUGGCGGACGGCUCAGUAACACGUGGCUAACCUACCCUCAGGUGGGGGAUAACCUUGGGAAACUGAGGAUAAUACCCCAUAGGGGAAGAGGUCUGGAAUGAUCCUUCCCUGAAAGGACAUCCGCCUGAGGAUGGGGCUGCGUCCGAUUAGGUAGUUGGUGGGGUAAUGGCCCACCAAGCCUACGAUCGGUACGGGCCUUGAGAGAGGAAGCCCGGAGAUGGGGACUGAGACACGGCCCCAGGCCCUACGGGGCGCAGCAGGCGCGAAACCUUCACAAUGCACGAAAGUGCGAUGGGGGGACCCCAAGUGCCUAUGCACAGCAUAGGCUUUUCCCAAGUGUAAACAGCUUGGGGAAUAAGGGCUGGGCAAAUCCGGUGCCAGCAGCCGCGGUAACACCGGCGGCCCGAGUGGUGGCCACUCUUAUUGGGCCUAAAGCGUCCGUAGCCGGUCCAGUAAGUCCCUGUUUAAAUCCUACGGCUCAACCGUAGGGCUGGCAGGGAUACUGCUGGACUUGGGACCGGGAGAGGACGAGGGUACUCCAGGGGUAGCGGUGAAAUGCGUUGAUCCCUGGAGGACCACCUAUGGCGAAGGCACUCGUCUGGAACGGGUCCGACGGUGAGGGACGAAAGCCAGGGGCGCGAACCGGAUUAGAUACCCGGGUAGUCCUGGCCGUAAACUCUGCGGACUAGGUGUCACCUGGGCCUUGGGCCCAGGUGGUGCCGAAGGGAAGCCAUUAAGUCCGCCGCCUGGGGAGUACGGUCGCAAGACUGAAACUUAAAGGAAUUGGCGGGGGAGCACCACAACCGGGUGGAGCCUGCGGUUU